rnacentral:lncRNA from 1 species
UCUGUCCUAGUUACAAUUUUCUGAGGGCUUUUGUGAAUAUCGAAGCUGAAGUGAACCGUCUCUUCUACGUCUUUGUCCCCCCUCGCCUCCCCGAAGCACACACAGCUCCACGCACCACCAGGCUCCCUUUGUUGUGGCCUGGGCGAUUUCCGAAGGCGAGUCAGAAUCCAAAGUCUGCAGGAGAUCAAAGUCCGCAACAGGCAGCGGAAGUUCGACCGAGGUCCAGGAAACGCCCGCUUGCCUUUGAAAGAAUCCCUGGCACGUCGAGAAGUCGUUUUUCCUGGCUGCGUAGGCGACCUUUCAGGGUUGUUAGGAGAUUAUUGAGACCGGGUACAGGUGAGGCGCUUGAAGUUACCUGAGGAAGUGCCAGGUAUGGGGGAUCCGGCACAGCCCCACGGUCUGAUGCACGCAAGUCAGGAAAGAACAGCGACUCCAGUCGAAUUGGAAUCCUUGCAGCCGACAGGAAGGCGAGAGCUCUGAGUCUGGCCUGGUUCGGCAGCAUCCUUAGCCUGUUUGCUCCAUGGGCCGGUGGCAGGUCAUGUGACUUCUGGCCUCUGCUAGUGCACGCAGUUCUAAGACCCAACAGAAAGUCGCAGGACACCCGACCCCUGUGCAAGCAAGAACAACAGCAACCAGGCCCCAGCUGGACGAGAGAUGCCUCUUUUAUAACUCAUCACUUUCCCCACCCAGCAUCGUUAAACUGCUCGCUGCUUGACCUUUUCCACUCUCUCCUUUCGUCCUUUCACUUUAUCUCAAGGCGGUUCACGCAUUUCUGCUCUCUAAGAAGACCAUUCGCCUUGCACUGAUGCAGUUACGACAUUGCAACGCCUGGUACGACUCUGUCCUCACU